rnacentral:rRNA from 1 species
CAUGGGGUGCAAACGUUGCUCGGAAUUAUUGGGCGUAAAGCGCACGUAGGCGGUUCGUUAAGUCGGAUGUGAAAGCCCUCGGCUCAACUGAGGAAGUGCACCCGAAACUGGCGAGCUUGAGUACGAAAGAGGAUCGCGGAAUUCCCGGUGUAGAGGUGAAAUUCGUAGAUAUCGGGAGGAACACCGGUGGCGAAGGCGGCGAUCUGGGUCGAUACUGACGCUGAGGUGCGAAAGCGUGGGGAGCAAACAGG